GACGAACGCUGGCGGCGUGCCUAAUACAUGCAAGUAGGACGCACAGUCUAUACCGUAGCUUGCUACACCAUAGGCUGUGAGUUGCGAACGGGUGAGUAACGCGUAGGUAACCUGCCUAUUAGAGGGGGAUAACUAUUGGAAACGAUAGCUAAUACCGCAUAACAGUAUGUAACACAUGUUAGAUGCUUGAAAGAUGCAAUUGCAUCGCUAGUAGAUGGACCUGCGUUGUAUUAGCUAGUAGGUAGGGUAAAGGCCUACCUAGGCAACGAUACAUAGCCGACCUGAGAGGGUGAUCGGCCACACUGGGACUGAGACACGGCCCAGACUCCUACGGGAGGCAGCAGUAGGGAAUCUUCGGCAAUGGGGGGAACCCUGACCGAGCAACGCCGCGUGAGUGAAGAAGGUUUUCGGAUCGUAAAGCUCUGUUGUUAAGGAAGAACGAGUGUGAGAAUGGAAAGUUCAUGCUGUGACUGUACUAACCAGAAAGGAC
rnacentral:rRNA from 1 species